rnacentral:rRNA from 1 species
UACGUAGGGUGCGAGCGUUGUCCGGAAUUAUUGGGCGUAAAGGGCUCGUAGGCGGUUUGUCGCGUCGGGAGUGAAAACCUUGGGCUUAACUCAGGGCUUGCUUUCGAUACGGGCAGACUAGAGUUCGGUAGGGGAGACUGGAAUUCCUGGUGUAGCGGUGAAAUGCGCAGAUAUCAGGAGGAACACCGGUGGCGAAGGCGGGUCUCUGGGCCGAAACUGACGCUGAGGAGCGAAAGCGUGGGGAGCAAACAGG